GGGCCCGCACAAGCGGUGGAGCAUGUGGUUUAAUUCGAUGAUACGCGAGGAACCUUACCAGGGCUUAAAUGUAAGUUGCAUUAGCUAGAGAUAGAUCCUUCUUCGGACUCAUUACAAGGUGCUGCAUGGUUGUCGUCAGCUCGUGCCGUGAGGUGUCAGGUUAAGUCCUAUAACGAGCGCAACCCCCCAUCGUUAGUUGCCAACGAGUAAUGUCGGGAACUCUAACGAAACUGCCGGUGCAAACCGUGAGGAAGGUGGGGAUGACGUCAAAUCAUCACGGCCCUUACGUCCUGGGCUACACACGUGCUACAAUGGUCGGUACAGAGAGCAGCCACUACGCGAGUAGGAGCAAAUCCCCAUAAACCGUGGCUC
rnacentral:rRNA from 1 species